rnacentral:sRNA from 1 species
UAUCUAGUGGGUCGGUUGCGUGGAGU